UACGUAGGGUGCAAGCGUUGUCCGGAAUCAUUGGGCGUAAAGCGCGUGUAGGCGGCUUGGUAAGUCCGUUCUGAAAGCCCGGGGCUCAACCCCGGGAGGCGGAUGGAUACUGUCAAGCUUGAGUCCGGAAGAGGCGAGUGGAAUUCCCGGUGUAGCGGUGAAAUGCGCAGAUAUCGGGAGGAACACCAAUGGCGAAGGCAGCUCGCUGGGACGUGACUGACGCUGAGACGCGAAAGCGUGGGGAGCAAACAGG
rnacentral:rRNA from 1 species